UCUUCCCUAGGCUGUCUCGUGGCUUCUACGACGGGUGAAGUUUGGGGACUUCUGAGCUUUUCCUUCCCUGGGCGACCAGUGUCCUUUAACGAUGGGGACUCCUAUGCCCUACAAAAGGCUGAAAAUUAACAAAGGUUUUUUAAGAACGUACUGUUUGGAGUGUCCUUUGGUGCCGAUGGCCCCACCUUGUAUGGCUGACAUUCUGUCCUGCAGAAGCGUCUACUAGCCCCUGGCACUGCUUCUCUCCCUCCUAAUGAAACAAAAGCACGAUGCCCUUGCGUUCCAGGGCUCCUGGGAGGAGGGUGUCUCCCCACAGGACUGGGGUGGCUGAGAGUCGGCAGGCAUACAUGUCUAUGCGCCCCCACGUCUCUCUCAGGCUGUGGGACCUGCCUGCAGAGGGCCCCUUAGGGAGAAGGAGCCUCUGAAGUAAGCCCUCAGCAAUCCAGGUGGAGCUCAGCCCCAGGAACGAGGGAGCUCAAGUCCCAGUUCGCCCCCUUCCCCAGGAGGAUGCUGUGGUGGCGGCAGCAGCAGCAGGAGGGAGAAUGAGAAAAAGCGGCCAUGACGAGGGGGAAGGCUCAGGGCAUGGAGACCAAGGAAGUGGCUUCGAAAGGCACCUACUGACUUAAGCUGGAAACAAGUCCUUGAACCUAGUGACUACAGGCCAUCUACGUGGGGUACAUACGCCCCCUAGUGGGGACUAAGACUAGAGAGUGGCUGAGAAAAUCAAAACAAAAAAAGAUUUACAUGACCUAUGAGCCUGGGUAGAAAUGGUCACUCCCUGCUCCACGUGCGUGCACGCGCACACGCGCACAAAGACACACACGCACUGGCACAUUUAAUACCACAUGCAGAAGCCAGCUGACUUAAGCAUUAAAAGAAAUGAUUUAAUUUAUUCAACUGAUAACAAGCACGCACUGGCAGCCUACAGUGUGCAUUGUCAGAUGUGUGUUGGGUGUGAUACGGUGGUGACAGGGACUGUGCCUGCCCUGCCAGUUAGUGCCACGGAAAGUCCCCGCCUUGGAAUUGCAAUUCUGCCAGCUGAGCAGCUGCCUGGUCACAUGACCUUUCUUUCUGCGGACUCGACUUCCCCACUUAAUAAAUAUAUGUUGAACUCGGGUGAGCUGGCGCUGAGGACGUAAAGAACUAACGCCCAUCUUCGGCAAAAGAACCGCCUAAUGAAAUGAUGGGGCUGGACCGCUGGGGGCCCCGUAGUUCUCCCAAUCAAAAGAGACUAAAAGGGACUGUGCCUGGAGGUGCUAGGAAAGACUCCCCCACUCCAGAAACACUCUGCUGGGCCAGUGUGCCAGUUACUGUGGGUACAAAAUAUAUUACAACUUCCUGCCGCAAACAACCAGAAAACUGCGCAAAAUAAAAGAAACAGACACUUGACAACGGGCGGCACAUGGAAUAGUGACCCCACGGCUGCCUCCGCAUCUGCCUCGGACAGUGCCUGCCUGUGGCGUGGGGUGGGGGAACCACGUGGACCACAGUGGUGUCACCGGGUGAAGAGACGAGAUCAGAACUCAGACGGUGCGGAGUCCCUAAGGGUUACCGCACAGAUCGACAGGAGCCAAAAACAGAUGCAAUGAAGCCGAGUCGAUGGAGGAAGAAAAGCCCUCUCGGUAGAACACAAAAUGCACUAACCGUGAAAGAAAAACGGAUUAACUGGACUUCAUCAAAAUUCUUAGGACUGGGAGAAAAUAUUUGCCAAGCAAAGAUCUGAGAAAGGAUCUGUAGCCAGAAUAUAUCAAGGACUUUUACAAGUUGAUAUCAAGAAGAGGACUUAUAAAAAGGGUUUUUUAAUAGACACUUCACAGAAAAGUAUACCUAUGGCCAGUGAACACAUAGAAUGAUGCUGAACACGGUAAGUCAUCAGGGAAAUGCAAAUCAAGACACCCACGUCCUUCUCUGCACACCCACCGGAUUGGUUCAAAUUAACGACUGACCGUGAUCGGUGUCGCCGAGGGUGAGGGCAACCGCAACCCUGUGUGCGUUGCUGGGGUUGCGUACAGUGUCACAUCCACUUGGCAAACCGGUUUGGCAGUUUCUCAUGAAUUCAUCCAAGAAGGAUGAAAACGUAUGCCCACAAAACGAGCUGUACAAAAAUGUUCACAGCAUCUUUAUUAGUAAUAGCCCCAAAUUGAAAAUGACCUAAGUAUCCACCAAUAUGUGAAUGGAUGAACAAACAGUGGUACAUUCAUACAAUGGAAUACUAGUCGGCAAUAAAAAUGAUCUGCUGAUGUAAGCCACACACGGGGAACACCGAGAAGCCAGACACAGAGGGUACCUGCCGUAUGAAUCUGUUUGUAUGAAAUUUCAGGACAGGCCAAACUAGUCCACAGUGACAGAAAGCGGACAGGUGGCUGUCCGGGGCCAAGGCUGGAUAGAUAGGAGACUGACUCCGAAACGGUGUGAAGGUGCUUUCUGCAGUGAUGACGUUCUAAACCGUGACUGGGGUUGUGGACACAUAGGUGUAAACACAUGUUGAACUACUGAACUGUACAUUUUAAAUGAAUGGACUUUAUUGUAUGUAAAUUAUGCCUCAAUAAAGGUGAUCGAAAGAGUUAAAAAACAAAAAAAGAAUGAACACCUGAUCCUUGUCUUGCUGGCAGACACGUACAAAAGCCAGACAUGAAAACAAAUAAUCGUGAAACAGUGGCUAUUAAAAGAAGUAUGUUCACACGCUGAGAGUUCUGUGUACUACGUGCUCCCCUGGUGCCAGGUCCAUGCCAGGCGCUCUGCCUGAGCACCCUGACAGUCCCAAGAGGUUCGGAUGGGCAGCCUCGUGUCCCGGGUAAGACAGUGAGGCUUCGGGAGAGGGGCAGUCAUUUGCCCAAGGUGCCUCAGCUAGAAUCACCAGAGCCAGGCCCCCACUCCGGGUCGGCCUGGCUGCAGAGCACGUGCCAGACCGGCCUGCCACAGGGACACUGAGGAAAGGGGUCGGGGACUGUCCCAGCGUCUUAGGUAAGACCUCGCAGAGGAGGCAGUAUCUGAAUUAUGACCUGGGAUUUGCUAAGCAGAGAAGAGGACGAGGGGAAGGAAAUUUCAAGGCAAAGGGAACAGAUAACAUGAACGAAGGCCGUGUGACAGCUGCGAGGGGGCAGGGGUUUCUGGGAAAGCACACACAUGUCCAGAAAACAGCAGAAGAGGUCAAUAGAAUACUCCAUGUUCUUCAAGCUCAUCUAUUUUUUAAAAACCCAUGCAAAAUGUUCCACUGUCGACAGUGUUAGCUUUUCAGGAAACCCAGCACGGUGGUUAAGACCGCAGGUUUUGAGGCUGGAUUGUCUGAGUUCAGAUCUGGAUGCUUCCACUUACUAAUGACAUUUCCCUUUCUGCACUUGGCUUCCUCGGCGGCAAGAUGGGGGAAUAACAGGGCUGUUGUGACAGUCAAAUGAGACAGCACAUAAAGGUGCUCACAGUCAAGUGUAUCCAUCGAAUAUGUACAGCUUUUUGUAUGUCAAUCAUGGUUUUGUAUGUCAAUCAUGAUCUCAAUACAUGGUUUCAAAAAAAAAAAAAAAGGUGCUUAGAGAAUGCCUGGCCGGGAGCAAACACUUAAUACACAUUAGCUGCUAAAAUGUGAAAAUAUGUGCCUCUGAAUCGGAACGAAGGAUUUGAAAAGAGGGGGCUUCAGGGCUGGUCAUUUCAGUGGUUCAAAAGCAUCAUGAAGGACUCACUUUCUUUCUUUCUACUCUUGCUUUGAAACGAGCCUCACAGAUGCAAGAUGGCUGCUGCAGUCACAAGCGUCACAUCUUCACGAGGUCCCAAAGCAAGGAGAGGAUGUUGUUUUCAAAAAACGAGAAAACUUCCCUGAACUUGGCAGACCGGCAUUGCAGAUCUGUCCUAAAACAAUUACUGGCAAAGGGAUUGAUUUAUCCUGUGGGUCUGGUGCAGACUAAUCGAGACCCCCCCUUAGGGCUGGGGAGGGACCUGCCGCGCCUGAAGCACAGGGCUGCCCAGCUGCAGUCUGUUCUGUCUAUAAUACGGAGGAA